rnacentral:rRNA from 1 species
GUGAGGAAUUUUCCGCAAUGGGCGAAAGCCUGACGGAGCAAUGCCGCGUGAAGGAUGAAGGCCUAUGGGUUGUAAACUUCUUUUCUCAGAAAAGAAUUAUGACGGUAUCUGAGGAAUAAGCAUCGGCUAACUCUGUGCCAGCAGCCGCGGUAAGACAGAGGAUGCAAGCGUUAUCCGGAAUGAUUGGGCGUAAAGCGUCUGUAGGUUGUUUAAAAAGUAUUCUGUCAAAGAUUGGGGCUUAACCCUAGAUAGGCAGAAUAAACUUUUAAGCUAGAGUUUGGUAGAGGCAGAGGGAAUUCCCGGUGGAGCGGUGAAAUGCGUAGAUAUCGGGAGGAACACCAAAGGCGAAGGCACUCUGCUGGGCCAAUACUAACACUGAGAGACGAAAGCGAGGGGAGCAAAUGGGAUUAGAAACCCGAGUAGUCC